CCUACGGGAGGCAGCAGUAGGGAAUCUUCCACAAUGGGCGAAAGCCUGAUGGAGCAACGCCGCGUGGGUGAAGAAGGUCUUCGGAUCGUAAAACCCUGUUGUUAGAGAAGAAAGUGCGUGAGCGUAACUGUUCACGUUUCGACGGUAUCUAACCAGAAAGCCACGGCUAACUACGUGCCAGCAGCCGCGGUAAUACGUAGGUGGCAAGCGUUAUCCGGAUUUAUUGGGCGUAAAGGGAACGCAGGCGGUCUUUUAAGUCUGAUGUGAAAGCUUUCGGUUUACCCGGAGUAGUGCAUUGGAAACUGGGAGACUUGAGUGCAGAAGAGGAGAGUGGAACUCCAUGUGUAGCGGUGAAAUGCGUAGAUAUAUGGAAGAACACCAGUGGCGAAAGCGGCUCUCUGGUCUGUAACUGACGCUGAGGUUCGAAAGCGUGGGUAGCAAACAGGAUUAGAUACCCUGGUAGUC
rnacentral:rRNA from 1 species